CAGGGCCUUGGACUCCUCGAGCACCUGGCCGGGCCACAGGCAGCAGGUUAACCCACCUGAAGAGUGAUGGUCGUGAAGAAGACCUGCAUGAGCUUCUGGGGUUCAGUGAGACAAGACCGUUACCCCAUCGCUAAGGGCUGAAGUGUGUUCUCAAGACCAACUUGGAACAAGUAUAUGGAAACAAAGUGGACAACCUAGAAGAAAUGGACACGCUUCUAGAAACAUACAGCCCACCAAGACUGAGUCAAGAAGAAACUGACCACUUGAGCACAUCAAUCACUAGAAAUGAAAUUGAAUUAGCAAUAAAAAAAAAAAAAAACUUCCUUACAAACCAAAGUCCAGGACCCGAUGGCUGGGGAAUUCUACCAAAGGUACAAAGAACUCGUAACGGUCCUUCUCAAACUCUUCCAGAAGAUUGAAAAGGAGGGAGUACCCCCAAACUCAUUCCAUGAAGCCACCAUCACUCUGACACCAAAGCCAGACAAAGACACCACCAAAAAAGAAAAUGACAGACCAGUAUCACUGAUGAACAUAGAUGCAAAAUCCUCAACAAAAUAUUAGCAAACAAACAGAAUCCAACAGCACAUAAAGAUUAUACACCAUCAUCAAGUUGGGUUCAUCCCAGGGACACAAGGCUGGUUCAACAUACGCAAAUCAAUGUAAUACAUCACAUCAACGAGAGAAAGGACAAAAACCACAUGAUCAUCUCAAUAGAUGCAGAAAAAGCGUCUGAUAAAAUUCAACACCCAUUACGAUAAAAACUCUCGCCAAAGUGGGUAUAGAGGGAACAUAUCUCAACAUAAUAAAAGCUAUAUAUGACAGACCUACAGCCAGCAUAGGACUCAAUGGUGGAAAACUGAAAAGCUUCCCACUAAGAUCUGGGACAAGACGAGGCUGCCCACUAUCACCACUCCUAUUCAACAUGGUCUUGGAAGUCCUGGCCACAGCAAUCAGGCAAGAGGGAGAAAUAAAAGGGAUCCAAAUUGGAAAAGGAGAUAAAACUGUCAUUAUAUGCUGAUGACGUGAUACUAUAUAUAGAAAACCCUAAAAGCUCCACACAGAAACUACUAGAACUAAUCAAAGAAUUCAGCAAGGUAGCAGGAUACAAGAUUAAUGUACAAAAAUCAGUUGCAUUUUUUUUAUACUAACAAUGAAUCAACAGGAAAAGAAAGGAAAGAAACAAUCCCUUUUAAAAUAGCAUCUAAAGUAAUAAAAUACCUGGGAAUAAAUCUAACCAAGGAGGUGAAAGACUUAUACACUGGAAACUAUAAAACACUGAUGAAGGAAAUUAAAGAAGACUUAAAAAAAAUGGAUAUCCCACGCUCCUGGAUUGGCAAUCUACAGACUUAAUGCAAACCCUAUCAAAUUACCCAGGACAUAUUUCACAGAACUAGAACAAAUCAUAAUAAAAUUUAUAUGGAACCAUCAAAGACCUAGAAUUGCCAAAGCAUUACUGAAGAAAAAGAAAGAGGCUGGAGGAAUAACUCUCCCAGAAUUCAGACAAUACUACAGAGCUACAGUCAUCAAGACAGCAUGGUAUUGGUACAAAAACAGACAUAUGGAUCAAUGCAACAGAAUAGAGAGCCCAGAAAUGAACCCACAAACUUUUGGUGAACUCAUCUUCAACAAAGGAGGCAAGAAUAUACAAUGGAAUAAAGACAGUCUCUUCAGCAAAUUGUGCUGGGAAAACUGGACAGCAGCAUGUAAAACAAUGAAGCUGGAACACUCCCUUACACCAUACACAAAAAUAAACUCAAAAUGGAUCAAAGACUUAAACAUAAGACACAAUAAAUCUCCUAGAAGAAAACAGGCAAAACAUUAUCUCACAUACAUUUGGCAACAUUCUCCUAGGGCAGUCUACCCAAGCAAUAGAAAUAAAAGCAAAAAUAAACAAAUGGGACCUAAUUAAACUUACAAGCUUUUGCACAGCAAAGGAAACCAUAAGCAAAACAAAAUGACAACCUAUAGAAUGGGAGAAAAUAUUUGCAAAAGCUGAGACAAGGGCUUGAUUUCCAGAAUAUAUAAAUAGCUCAUAUGACUUAAAGAAAAAAACAACCCAAUCCAAAAAUGGGCAGAAGUCCUAAACAAGCAAUUCUCCAAUGAAGACAUUUGAAUGGCCAAUAGGCACAUGAAAAAAUGCUCAAUAUCACUAAUUAUCAGAGAAAUGCAAAUCAAAACUACAAUGAAGUAUCACCUCACACCAGUCAGAAUGGCCAUCAUUCAAAGGUCCACAAAGAGAAACGCUGGAGAGGUUGUGGAGAAAAGGGAACCCUCCUACACUGCCGGUGGGAAUGCAGUUUGGUGCAGCCACUGUGGAAAACACUAUGGAGAUUCCUCAAAAGACUAAACAAGCUUACCAUAUGACCCACUAAUCCUGUUCCUGGGCAUAUAUCCAGAGGGAACCUUAAUUCAAAAAGACACCUGCACCCUAAUAUUCAUAGCAGCACUAUUUACAACAGCCAAGACAUGGAAACAACUUAACUGUCCAUCAACAGAUGACUGGAUAAAGAAGCUGUGGUAUAUUUAUACAAUGGAAAACUACUUAGCCAUAAAAAAUGAUAAAAUAAUGCCAUUUGCAGCAACAUGGAUGGACCUGGAGAAUGUCAUUCUAAGUGAAGUAAGCCAGAAAGAGAAAGAAAAAUACCAUAUGAUAUCACUCAUAUGUGGAAUCUUAAAAAAAAUAUAUAAAACAGAAACAGACUCAGACAAUACAGACUGGUGGUUGCCAGGGGGGAAGAGAUAAACUGGGAGUUCGAGAUUUGCAGAUACUGACUGGUAUAUAUAAAAUAGAUAAGUUUAUACUGUAUAGCACAGAAAUAAAUUCAGUAUCUUAUAAGCUUAUGGUGAAAAAGAGUAUGAAAAUGAAUAUAUGCAUAUUCAUGUAUGACUGAAGCAUUGUGCUGUACACCAGAAAUUGACACAUCAUAAACUGACUAUAACUCAAAAAAAAAAAAAGACCAACUUGAACCACAGGGUUGUGGCUCAAGUGAUGGACGCAGAUGUGGCCGGGCCCUGUGCUGUCUAGGGGGUGGUGGAUGAGGGGCACGCAUCCUUUGGCCCCUCCCUCAGGCCAUCUCUGUCCUUCCUGGUCACUUCCCUGAAUGUCAUUUUUUGCCACGUGGAGGUCAGUUACAGCCUGACCACCGCUCACCUCUAUCCUGUCUCCUUCCCUCUUCUGGACUCUCAGGCCUUGGGGUGGCAAGGCGGGCUGAGAGCCAGGCAGGACUCCCCUCCCCUCCAGUCUCAAGCUGUUCUGGCCGCUGGCCUUUCUCCCUCGGAGCUGGGCCAACCCCACACCUGCUGUCACAGCAGAGUCUCUCCCACUCCAGAUGGCUGGAUGUGCAGAGCAACUAUGGGCAUUUCCAAAUUUACCCUAAAAUGCAACACAGACACCAGAGGGCACAGGCCGCCUGCUCCCCCCGCCCCAGCAC